AUUCUCCAGAUUCCUUACCCCUCGGAGCUAAAUAAUUGGUCUGAGUGGCUAAAACAGGGAGGAAAAGUAAAACUGAAGUGGACUUGGAGUCUUGAGUUACUUACAAGUCCAUUUCAAAUGUGU
rnacentral:snoRNA from 1 species